rnacentral:rRNA from 1 species
GAUGAACGCUGGCGGCGUGCCUAAUACAUGCAAGUCGAGCGAACAGAUGAGGAGCUUGCUCCUCUGACGUUAGCGGCGGACGUGUGAGUAACACGUGUGUAACCUACCUAUAAGACUGGUAUAACUUCGGGAAACCGGAGCUAAUACCGGAUAAUAUAUUGCACCGCAUGGGUCAAUAGUGAAAUACGGUUUUGCUGUCACUUAUAGAUGGAUCCGCGCCGCAUUAGCUAGUUGGUACGGUAACGGCUUACCAAGGCGACGAUGCGUAGCCGACAUGAGAGGGUGAUUAGCCACACUGGAACUGAGACACGCUACAGAGUCAUACGGAAGGCAGCCGGACUGAAACGGCCGGAAGGGGCGAGGGACUGUCGAAGCAGCGCCGAGUGAUGGAGGAGGAUCUUCGGGUCGUAAAAGUCUGUUAUCAGGGAAGAAACAAUGUGUAAGUAAGUAGGCACGUCUGGAAGGGUACUAAGUAGAAAACCACCGGUAAAUACGUG